AGAUUGGCCCAAGAUUUCUCACAUUCCCUUCGUGGAAAUCGACAAUGUUACCAUCAGUGAGAUAAAAGGCUAGACAGAUUCUCUUUUCUUGCAUCCGUCCAAUCCAGCAAGAUAAGGGUUCUGAUACAAAAUUUCCUUCUUUAUGCAUUAGACGCUCAUUGAGUUCAUCUUUCAACACUGGCACUGGUUCUCUCAACAAAAAUUCAAUCCUCGCCAAGGAUACUGGAGCCAGUUUGUUCAGGCUUGACAAAGAGUGAGAACCACUGAGUGUAGCAUGAUGUGAUUCACUGUUUACUAUAGCAAACAGGCUUCUUAAGGGUUCUAGUGGUAAAGAACAUACCAUGUAUCAAUUUACCUGACUGUUGAUGGAAGAGCUACACAUGUCGCCUUGGCAUGGUCAGUCCCGUCACUGCUGUAAUGUUGUGGCAUAGAUACUGGCUCAGGUAAAGAUCCUAUUCUUAUUAUUAUUAUUAUUGUUAGAUCUAUCAUUUACAUUUUUUCUAUAAAAUUUGAGGCUUUGUCAAAGCAAACUAAUUUAUUAUCACCCUAUGUUCUAUGGACUUGAGUCGGUGUAUGAAGGACUCAGGAAGAGGAGCACUCUAAAAUCAUAAAUCGUAGUUUUACUCAAGCUGUGAAAUGUGAACUCUGAACCUCUUCAUCUUCAUGCAUGGUCAAGGAGUGACAAUCGUUCCACAAGUGCACCAUUACAGGCCUUUGUAGCUGCAGAUUUUAGGCACCUUUACCAACUGGGGUCUUGUCGAUUCUAUUGGCUCGCCCAAUGAGGAGUGAGGAGCAAUCUUUGAUGAUUUUGUUAUGAUGCAACUUUAUUCAAAUAUGAUUUUAUUUGGUCGAAUUGCAACUCGACCGAAAAUUCCAUGAUGCAAUGCAAAUUGAAUAUUUUGAGAGAUUUGUGUAGAUUAGUAUAAAUAUUGUAAACUUUACUUGCAGUAUGUAAGAUUUUAGUCAAUCUAUCAGUAUUUUUGUUUGGAGAUUUUACAAAGGUUGUAACUUUCUGUCUAUGAUAUUGGAAUUUUU
rnacentral:misc_RNA from 1 species